UACUAUUGGAAGACGAGUCUGAACCCUGAUGCAUCGCUGUUAUACGGCACUGAUC
rnacentral:snoRNA from 1 species